rnacentral:tRNA from 1 species
GUGGGUGUGCCGGAGCGGUCAAACGGGCUGCCCUUAAGAGGCAGUAGCUUUAUGCUUGCGAGGGUUCGAAUCCUUUCACCCACA